UCGACGACCCAAGAAAGGUGACUUAGUGCUAUCAAAGUGUUUCGCUGGGCGAGUGCAAAGUGUGCGCGUUAUAGCUCCGAAUUGCAAUCUAGCAAAUGUGCUAGUUGAGAAAAUUUUUGAAGAAGUUUGUGAGUUGAAGCACGUCACAAAGGUUGUCAUAUUGAUAGCAUUUUUGGUGAGGUAAAUUAUAAAAAAAAAUGAUGUUUCUUAGGUUUGGUGCCAAAUUAGUGUUCACAAAUUACAAUGUUUGGAGUAUAAGGAUUCGAGUAUUUCUUGGAGAAUGCAAUUUAUGGCAAGAUGUCA
rnacentral:lncRNA from 1 species